rnacentral:rRNA from 1 species
AGUGAACGCUGGCGGUAGGCCUAACACAUGCAAGUCGAACGGCAGCACAGGAGAGCUUGCUCUCUGGGUGGCGAGUGGCGGACGGGUGAGGAAUACAUCGGAAUCUACUUUUUCGUGGGGGAUAACGUAGGGAAACUUACGCUAAUACCGCAUACGACCUACGGGUGAAAGUGGGGGACCGCAAGGCCUCACGCGAUUAG